AUUAAAUUGCAACCGGAAGCAUUUGGACUGAUGAAAAGGCUUAGUGUUUAUAAAUUGUAAUGCGCGUUUUUCUUGUGGACUCAAUUAUCUACCUGACAAUUCGAGAGUGCUUGAUUGGUCCGAAUAUCCUUCACAGUCUUUGCCACAUAAUUUUCAAGGGAAGAAACUCAUUGCCUUCAGAAUGCGUGAUAGCUUCAUCAAGGAAUUAGGGAAUGGAUUCAGGCCGAAGAAUUUGGGGACUCUGGCUUUCUAUAAUUGUAAGUUCUUUAAAAUUCCAGAUCUUUCAAGCACUUCAAAUUUGAAGGAAUUGAGUGUUGAAUAUUGUUUGAGACUUUUUCAAGUGCAUGAUUCGGUUGGAUCACUGGAAAAUCUUUCUGAUUUGAGUUUUGAGGGAUGCUCUGCACUCCAAAUUCUUCCAAAAAGCCUCAAGUUGAGAUCUUUACGAAAGCUUAGACUUGGUAAUUGCUCAAGCCUUGUUGAACUUCCUGAAAUCGAGUGUAUAACGGAAUCUUUAAGUAGAUUGGAUCUAGGUGGUACUGCAAUAGAAGAACUACCUUUAUCCAUCCGGAACCUCAUUGGACUUGAGCAUUUAGUUCUAAGUCGCUGCAAAAACCUCAUGCGUCUCCCAAAUGCUUGCACUCAAUUGCAACAUUUACGUGAGGUUUGUAUUGGUGGUUGUACCAAUAUUGCAAAAAAGAUGAGGGAUGAUGAUGGACAAUCCCUUCUGCCUAUUGAAUCUACAACAACGAAAGACUUUAUAUUAUCAAGUGAUGAACAACUCCAUGAAUCAAAUUUCUUUCCAAUAUCAAGUUUCUUUACCAUGUUUACUUCUGUGUCCACUUUGCAUCGAUUAGAUCUGUCAGGGACUGAAAUAGUUAGUCUUCCCUUGAGCAUUAAAGGACUCGUUAGCCUAAUUAAUCUUGAGCUGCACAAUUGCCAGAAGCUCAAAGAAAUACUGGUGCUUCCACCAAAUAUAAAAGAAGUAGAUGUUUCGCAAUGCGAGUCAUUAGAAAGAUUUGCAGAAGUAUCAAAAGUAUUGCAAUUCAAUGGAAGCCACAUCAGAUCGCUACAAAGUGUUGAAUUGUCUGGCUGCAAGAAAAUGCACGUGAAUAUAUGGAAUGAUAAAGUUCAAAAUCCUUUAUUGUGGAAGGGACUCUAUGAUUUUGAUGCUACUUUGCUUCCAGAAAAUCAGAUUCCAGACUGGUUGAGUUAUGUUCAUGAGUUUUUGGAUAAUGAAAUGGUGAAGGGGCAUGACGAAGAGUGGGAAAUAGAUAUUGAGGGGCCACUCUAUUUGGAGGAGAUCAGCGGAAUUGUAUUAUAUGUCGUCGUGUUUUUUAAAGAUGCUUGGAGCUGGCAGGGAAUUAUUGAUAACGCUAAGAUAACUAUUGCUGGCUCAAAUCGUGUGUGCCAAAUUCAAAACGGGGUAGAAUUACUUAAUAUGGAUUGGCUCAAUAUAGGAGGAACUGGAUAUGAUGUGUGGGUGGGGUACUCCAAUUUACAAUCUUUUGACCUCAAGGUUCUACCCAAUUUGCUAGUUCAAUUUGAUCUCCGUCGUUGUGAUCCUGGGAGAGUACCAUUUUAUCAAAGUUGCAGAGCCAAAGUGGUAUACAAGGAUGAAAGGAGAGAGAAGAAAAAAACAAAAAUUGAAGCCGAUAUUGCAAAAAGUCCUGAUCAACAGCAAUUGAAUUAAGGAUAACCCAAGAGAGUCUCUAGUGCUAACCACAGCAAUCCAAAAUUCCGUACAUCUCGGAGGAUUUGCGCGAAUUCACCCCCUCAUGAGGCCAGCAUAUCAUCCAUCCUCUAGCUUUUUAGAAGUCGACAAAGUACAAACAUUACGUUGGUUCCAAAACUGACUGGUGCACUAUCUGUAAGUUCACAGUGGCAUGCAUGUUGCUCUUCCUAUCAUCAGUGGAAAGAACCAGUUGCAAUAAGAGCAGAACUUUCACCUCCACCAUCAACGAAGGUGAGGACUUUCCCAAAUAACUGCCCAUGGAGGAUAAAGUCAUAAUAACUGCAGUUUGUGAUGUGCAUCUAAAGCUUAAGACAAUGUGCUUUGCUAUUUCUGGAAAACGAAUUUUAAGAAUAAUUAAAGGAAGACAUAAAAGUGAGAAGCCAUACAUCUAUUCUCAAUUUCUCAAUUUCUUCGUAGAAUUGCUCACAAUGGUUUUGGAAAGCAGAAAUGUAAUUUAAACAGAAAGCACUACGGGGAUAGCAGAAAAGCAGGAAUUUGAAUACACAUACAUAUGCACAAAGAGAGACUGUGACAAGCAUUUGAAGGAAAAUUUCACUUAUUAUGGCUAUCAAAUCUCUGCCUGUCUAAACAUCUCAUCUUCAAAACAGGAUUCUGUGCUGCACAUAUCCACACAAAUAUUUAUGUCCACGCAAAGUGUCACUGAAGCCAGGAAGAUGGAACUUGGCCUUGGUGCAGUGCAAACCUGAUGCAGGAGGAUCUGUUUUUGGGCGAUUCUCUUAUGUUCUUUCCUGUGAAUUAUCUGUUGAAACUAGCCUGCAGAAUAAUCGCUAUUCUGUCCGGUAUCAAAACCCUACAGCUAGUUUAUCUAGGUAGUUACUUCCUUUUUUAUUAGGUAUUCCUAUAUGUUUUGUAUGAUUGUAUCAGCUGUGUUUGCAGUUGGAGCAACUGGAGACAGGAAAAUGGAAGAAAGUUCAAAUC